GUGGGGUGCCACUCAGGAGGGUGUGACACCCCAGUUUAAGAAGCAUCACCUGAACUGCAUUCUGGGCCUGAUGCAGAAAAAAAUAAUCUCCAUAGUUUGAGGACCACGGAUACUUCAUAGAACUCUCCAGUGCUGCCAACUUUCAUGAUUUUAUCAUGAAUAGUUCUUCAGCAUCUCCCCCUCCACACCACCACAGAACAACACAAGCAAGAAGAAACUUGAGCAGUGCCAAUUGCAUCUGUGCAAUUCAAUUUCAGAUGAGGGAUGCAGCAAGACAAACAUACCU